rnacentral:rRNA from 1 species
GCCUAAGACAUGCAAGUCGUACGAGGAGACCCAUUGAAGUGGAGUGCUGCACAAAGAUGGAUUUGGAUUCUCUCCUAGUGGCGGACGGGUGAGUAACACGUGGGUAAUCUGCCUUUAAGUUGGGGACAACAGUUGGAAACGACUGCUAAUACCGAAUAUGAUAUAGAAAUGAUUUUUCUACAUUGAAAGAUGCCUUUAAAGCAUCGCUUAGAGAUGAGCCUGCGGCGUAUUAGCUUGUUGGUAGGGUAACGGCCUACCAAGGCAAUGAUGCGUAGCCGAACUGAGAGGUUGAUCGGCCACAUUGGGACUGAGACACGGCCCAAACUCCUACGGGAGACAGCAGUUAGGAAUAUUCGUCAAUGGGGGAAACCCUGAACGAGCAAUGCCGCGUGAGUGAUGAAAGGUCCUUUGGAUUGUAAAACUCUGUUGUAUGGGAAGAACACUAAGUAUAGGAAAUGAUGCUUAGCUGACGGUACCAUGCCAGAAAGCCCCGGCUAACUACGUGCCAGCAGCGGC